rnacentral:rRNA from 1 species
CCAUGCAUGUCUAAGUUCAAAUGGCCUAUAAAGGUGAAACCGCGAACGGCUCAUUACAACAGCUAUUAUAUACUUGAUCUUGAUCUCCUACGUGGAUAACUGUGGUAAUUCUAGAGCUAAUACAUGCACCAAAGCUCCGAAUUUCUG